GGAGCAAGUCGGGCAGUCGCUGCCGGAAAAUUUCCGGGAGAGGAAAGUCCGAACACCGCAGGGCGGCGAGCCGGAUAACGUCCGGGCGUUUUCUUUUUCACGAAAGAGAACGACGACAAGUGCAACAGAGAAUAGACCAGCCGGUAGAUGGAAAUCUGCGGAUGAUAAUUCAUCAAUUCCGCUGUCGGUGAUGGGUGAAACGGUGCGGGGGCGAGUUGUCGCAGACGAAAAGCGUCCCAAAGGUAAGAGCGCACCAGCGCAUUUAGUAAUAAGUGCGGCUGGGUAAACUCCUCGCGGUGCAAGACCAAAUAGGAAAACGCUAAUUGAGAGCUGCCCGCUCUCGCGUUCCGGGUAAAACCGGACGGCGUUUUCGGGUAGGUCGCUCGAGCUGUUUGGCGACAAACAGCCUAGAUGAAUGAUUGCCGCUUUGAAGCAUUUCAAAGAACAAAAUUCGGCUUACAGACUUGCUCCAACC
rnacentral:RNase_P_RNA from 1 species